rnacentral:lncRNA from 1 species
GCGAAUCUGGUACCGGGACUUGGGGAGCGAGGGAUGCAACAUGGUGCAUCUGGGAGGCCUGCUAACUGGCUAACUUCUCCGGCGUUCCUCCCGGCCGAGGCGUGGGCACAGAAUAGCGCAGGUGAGGCCCAGAUAUGGUGUCUCGAUACGGCGCGGAAGUUUGAAGACAUCAUUUUCCAGUUUUGGAGCCGACUAAUGAACUAGUUCUUAAGUGAAAGGCAUUUAACACGACUGUGCAUCUACAGGUACUAGGUUUCCAAGAUGCCUUUCCAGACUAAAACCCACACAUGUGAGCCGCUGGCCGGACAAACAUCUGGCACCUAACGUGGGGCUGAAAAACAGCAGAGGACAUUUGGAAGAAACACUGCUGGUUUGGAGCUCCAUAGAAGAAGAAAAUAAUUAAAGGAAAUUCAUACCAGAGAAGAGACCUGAAUGGUUUGCACCAAAACACAAACACAAACCAUUGGGAGAGUGAUUGGUGAAGUGAUGGACAUUUACUCGGGCAAAGGCAUGCAUGUAAAAUAGUCCCUAUCUGGAUGGACCUACGCCUGUGGCAGGAAGUUCACUGGUCAAUUACCUGCUGACUGAAGUGGCCUAUUUUCUUCUGACCCCCUGCUUCUCUCUUCCCCUCUCCGCCCUGAAAGCUGUUUGGGCAUAGGGAGGUCUUGACCUGAGGAAACCAUCUUGGGUAACCAAGGCAAGGAAAGGGAAUAUGCAACACCUAGGAGAUUUCAGCAAACAGUAGAAUCAUGCCAACGUAAUCUGUGUUAAAAUGCUUGGAAUGUGGGAGCCGCCGGUGAUGUCUGUUGUCUGUGUGUCUCCAGUAAUCCUUUCUUUUUUAAGUGCAGCAAAGCCAAGCCUGGAAACCAGGCCAAGCGCCUGCCACUUACCUUAAAUUUAUCAGCCACUUUGAGAUUAAAACCCCUGAAAGCUGCUGCACAGUGAAAGCAAGGCCUCCUUCACAUUAAAGGCAAAUCGCAACUCUG